rnacentral:rRNA from 1 species
UGGCGGGCGGGUGAGUAACGCGUGGGGAACCUGCCCUGUACCGGGGGAUAGCAGCCGGAAACGGCUGAUAAUACCGCAUAAGCGCACGAAUGUCGCAUGACAUGGUGUGAAAAACUCCGGUGGUAUAGGAUGGACCCGCGUCUGAUUAGCCGGUUGGUGGGGUAAAAGCCUACCAAAGCGAAGAUCAGUAGCCGAGUUGAGAGACUGACCGGCCACAUUGGGACUGAGACACGGCCCAGACUCCUACGGGAGGCAGCAGCC